AGAGUUUGAUCCUAGCUCAGGAUGAAUGCUGGCGGCGUGGAUGAGGCAUGCAAGUCGAAUGGGUUUAGACCCAUGGCAGACGAGGUAGGAACACGUAGGUACGUACCCCGAAGUCAGGAAUACUCCGGCGAAAGUCGGCAUAAUACUUGAUAGUCCCUUAUAUUAAUUUAUGGGGUAAAGAUUUAUCGCUUCGGGAACGGCCUGCGGUCUAUCAGCUUGUUGGUAAGGUAACGGCUUACCAAGGCUACGACGGAUAGGGGAGGUGAGAGCCUGGCCCCCACCGAUGGAACUGCGACACGGUCCAUACUCCUACGGGAGGCUGCAGUCGAGAAUCUUCCGCAAUGGACGAAAGUCUGACGGAGCGACGCCGCGUGGUGGAUGAAGCCCUUAGGGGCGUAAACACCUUUUAUGAGGGAGGAAGUUUAUUGACGUUACCUCAUGAAUAAGGGGCUCCCAACUCUGUGCCAGCAGGAGCGGUAAUACAGAGGCCCCAAGCAUUAUCCGGAUUCACUGGGCGUAAAGGGUGCGUAGGCGGUUAUAUUAGUCGGGUGUUAAAUCCAUGGGCUCAACCCAUGAAUCGCAUUCGAAACGGUAUAACUAGAAGAAGUCAGAGGUUUAGAGAACUCUCGGUGUAGGGGUGAAAUCCGUUGAUAUCGAGGGGAAUACCAAAUGCGAAGGCACUAAACUGGGACUUUCUUGACGCUGAGGCACGAAAGCAUGGGUAGCGAAUCGGAUUAGAUACCCGAGUAGUCCAUGCCCUAAACGCUGUCCGCUGGUUUUAGGAGGAAUCGACCCCUUCUGAGACGAAGUUAACACGUUAAGCGGACCGCCUGGGUAGUACGAGCGCAAGCUUAAAACUCAAAGGAAUAGACGGGGGCUCGCACAAGCGGUGGAUCAUGAGGCUUAAUUCGUCGAUAAGCGAAAA
rnacentral:rRNA from 1 species